rnacentral:lncRNA from 1 species
AGCCCUCAUUCCAGAGGGGUCCUGCCCAUACCCAGGAGGCCGAAAUGCUAUGCAGAAAAGCCAAGAAGAAGCCACACAGACAGGCCUUGGAGGCCUCCGUGUAGCACCACAGACCAUCCCCCUUUGUCCAAGCACAUUUCUCCACAGUGUCCAUUCUUCAUGGAACCUAAGGAUACAAACAGAUGGUUCCCCUGCAGCUUCAGAUCUUCAUUUCUCAAGGCACCUGUAUUAUAUGAAACUUUAAGUAAAUCUGUUAUGCUUUUCUCUCGUCAG